GUAAGGAAUAUUGGUCAAUGGACGCAAGUCUGAACCAGCCAUGCCGCGUGGAGGAUUAAGGCCCUCUGGGUUGUAAACUCCUUUUAUCUGGGAAGAAAUGUACUUUUUCUUGAGUACUUGACGGUACCAGAGGAAUAAGCACCGGCUAACUCCGUGCCAGCAGCCGCGGUAAUACGGAGGGUGCAAGCGUUAUCCGGAUUCACUGGGUUUAAAGGGUGCGUAGGUGGGCAGGUAAGUCAGUGGUGAAAUCUCCGGGCUUAACCCGGAAACUGCCGUUGAUACUAUUUGUCUUGAAUAUUGUGGAGGUAAGCGGAAUAUGUCAUGUAGCGGUGAAAUGCUUAGAUAUGACAUAGAACACCAAUUGCGAAGGCAGCUUACUACACAAUCAUUGACGCUGAGGCACGAAAGCGUGGGGAUCAAACA
rnacentral:rRNA from 1 species